GAGACAGCAGUAGCCGCGGUAAUACGUAGGUCCCGAGCGUUGUCCGGAUUUAUUGGGCGUAAAGCGAGCGCAGGCGGUUAGAUAAGUCUGAAGUUAAAGGCUGUGGCUUAACCAUGGUACGCUUUGGAAACUGUUUAACUUGAGUGCAAGAGGGGAGAGUGGAAUUCCAUGUGUAGCGGUGAAAUGCGUAGAUAUAUGGAGGAACACCGGUGGCGAAAGCGGCUCUCUGGCUUGUAACUGACGCUGAGGCUCGAAAGCGUGGGGAGCAAACAGGAUUAGAUACCCGCGUAGUCCCUGUCUCUUAUACA
rnacentral:rRNA from 1 species